CCUACGGGUGGCAGCAGUGAGGAAUAUUGGUCAAUGGGCGCAAGCCUGAACCAGCCAAGUAGCGUGAAGGAUGACUGCCCUACGGGUUGUAAACUUCUUUUAUAAAGGAAUAAAGUGCGGCACGUGUGCCUUUUUGUAUGUAUUUUAUGAAUAAGGAUCGGCUAACUCCGUGCCAGCAGCCGCGGUAAUACGGAGGAUCCGAGCGUUAUCCGGAUUUAUUGGGGUUAAAGGGAGCGUAGAUGGGUUGUUAAGUCAGUUGUGAAAGUUUGCGGCUCAACCGUAAAAUUGCAAUUGAUACUGGUAGCCUUGAGUAUAGGUGAGGUAGGCGGAAUUCGUGGUGUAGCGGUGAAAUGCUUAGAUAUCACGAAGAACUCCGAUUGCGAAGGCAGCCUACUAAAAUGCAACUGACACUGAUGCUCGAAAGUGUGGGUAUCAAACAGGAUUAGAUACCCCAGUAGCC
rnacentral:rRNA from 1 species